rnacentral:misc_RNA from 1 species
GAUGAAGAACGUAGCGAAAUGCGAUAAGUAAUGUGAAUUGCAGAAUUUAGUGAAUCAUCGAAUCUUUGAACGCACAUUGCGCCCCUUGGUAUCCCGAGGGGCAUGCCUGUUCGAGCGUCAUUUCACCACUCAAGCCUGGCUUGGUGUUGGGCGACGUCCUCUUUGGGGACGCGCCUCGAAACGCUCGGCGGCGUGGCACCGGCUUUAAGCGUAGCAGAAUCUUUCGCUUUGGAAGUCGGGGCCCCGUCUGCCGGAAGACCUGCUCGCAAGGUUGACCUCGGAUCAGGCAGGGAUACCCGCUGAACUUAAGCAUAUCAAUAAGCGGAGGA